CGUAGGGUGCAAGCGUUAAUCGGAAUUACUGGGCGUAAAGCGUGCGCUGGCGGUUUUGUAAGACAGGCGUGAAAUCCCCGGGCUCAACCUGGGAACUGCGCUUGUGACUGCAAGGCUAGAGUACGGCAGAGGGGGGUGGGAUUCCACGUGUAGCAGUGAAAUGCGUAGAGAUGUGGAGGAACACCAAUGGCGAAGGCAGCCCCCUGGGUCGAUACUGACGCUCAUGCACGAAAGCGUGGGUAGCAAACAGGAUUAGAUACCCUGGUAGUCCACGCCCUAAACGAUGUCAACUAGGUGUUGGGUGGGUAAAACCAUUUAGUACCGGAGCUAACGCGUGAAGUUGACCGCCUGGGGAGUACGGCCGCAAGGUUA
rnacentral:rRNA from 1 species